UGAGUGUAUAUACAAUAAUUGCAUUGGU
rnacentral:sRNA from 1 species